rnacentral:lncRNA from 1 species
UUUUUCUCUGUUUUAUAUAAAUGCAUAUUUUUUAAACUUCUUUGUUAUAAAUGAUUGAAAAAAAUACAUAUAUCUAAGAAAUUUGAAAAGACAACAGAUGGGAUGUACAGAGUUAUCAAAAGUACCAGGAUUUUAAUUUAGUAUGCCAGACGUGCGUUUCGUCUACAUAAGACUCAUCAGUGACGCUCAUAUCAAAAUAAUUAUAAAGCCAAACAAGUGCAAAGUUGAAGAGCAUUGGGGAUCCAAAGUUCCAAAAAAUUCAGGUUUGUCGUAAAAUAAUUUCUUGUAUCCCGCACCCAUUUUUUUUCAAAAUUAUGACUUAAUAGCUGACCUAAUUGUUAAUAAAUUAAUAUAAAAAUAAUUACUCAAAAACUACUUAAUGUAAAUAGACAAUUUUUUCACAGUAUUAAGUUUGAUUAUCACACUUUUUAAAUUCAUUGAUAUUUUCAACUUGUAUCACAUACUUUGGAAAAAAUUCCAGAACGAGAUUUCAACGAGACUGAAACGUCAGAAGCAAUACAUCCCUAAAUCAACAAAAGUAAAGAUAACAAAUAUGCAAAACUGAUAAAUGCAGAGUAACUUUCAUUAUU